CUUUUCUUUCUUUGUUCUUUGCGAUUUCUCGUCUCUAGCGUUUCAGUUCUCGAACGUUCCUUCGUGUCCGCGGUGCCCUUGCUGGCAUUGUACGUUUCGUAAAGAUAAUACUGUCACGCGCUGUUCUCGUGUUCGCGGUGCCCUUGCUGGCAUUGUAUGUUUUCGAUCUCUUUGUUCUAUGAUAUUAGUUUUUAAUCGUUGUAAAUAUCGCGCUAUUUGUUCUGUUAACCUUGCGACUUUGAUACGUUCUAGAAUUAGCGGUUGAGUGUUCAAGAAUAAACGUGACCGAGUCAGAACUUCGCGAGACGUUGCUGGCGACGGUCGAACAACAAAAUUGUGGCGUGAACUCAGUUAACUUGCCUACUCCUGCCUUUCUGAUCUUUCAGAGAUUCGAGCCUGCCUUCUUCGGCAAGGCAGUUUCAGCGUAGCCAUCACUGGCAGAGCAAUUAUCCGUUACAACUGUUUUUCUAACACCGAAUAACAUAAACUUUAACAAUUAAUAUCUCGGUUCGCGGGGCAGGGCGACGCUUUUGUUGCCAGAUUCGUUUUGUGCAAAAACGCGUCGAAUGAGCCUAUUUUUAUCAAAAUCGGAGGUAUACAGAUGAUAUAUAGACAUCCGACUGAAUGCUAUCUUACGAAUCCAAAUGGUAGUGUAAAUGACAUUGCUGCCAUUUGUUCUAAAAAUGAUGGACAUUUGACGAUGAUGCCGCAUCCAGAAAGGUCUCAGAAAUGUGGCAGUGGCCUUGGAAACUAACAGGAUGGAACUAUAAUGUCUCAUUGGCAACGACUUUUCGACAAUGCAUAUACUUGGUGCCAAGAAUACAAUUAGAAAAUUUAUUAUCAAAUUCAACAACGAAUUU